rnacentral:lncRNA from 1 species
GGUCAGUUCUAUGGUGCUACCCAAGAUAGAGACAAGACCAGCUUUACAGAUUGUGGUGGCCAAUGAGGGGCAGGGACAGUUCAACACAAUGCCUGAGGCAGCAGUCCAGACCAGGGUUAUCCACAGAGCCUUUGGUGGUAAUGCAGGCCUUGGGACAUCAAGCUAGAGCCCAGCUGACAUAAUUCCAUGGACCUAGAUAUGGCUCUCAGCAGCAGCAUGAGCCUGGAUAUGUACGUGGCCUUCUGUGUUCAGGCCAUUCAGAUCAGCGUUGCCUCCUGAGCAGCAGACCCUCACAUAUCCACUUGGUGGCAGGCCAGACCACAGAUAUUUGCUUGGCCCUUGGUGGUAAUUUGAGCCACAGACAUCUCUGCAGACCCCAACUGCAGCAAGACCGAGGUCCCCAGACAUGUCUCUUGGUAGCAACCCAGGCAAGGACCUCGCCAUGGCCUCCUCAUAUCUGCCUGCACCUCACUACCCUUGAGUCUCCAGUUCCACCUUUCUCCAAGUGUAUAGACCCCACCCCCACCCCCACUUCUUUCUCUUUCAUCUCUCCAAGUUGUACUCCACCUUCCCCAUCUCUUCAUCAUACAUAUAUCCAUCCAUCACAGUGGUACCUGCAACAGGCGCUUCAGUGUCUUUCUUCCUGCCUACCUACUUGGGUUGGUGUGGCCAGGGUAGAUGCUUCAGUGUCUUUCUUCCUGCCUACCUACUUGGGUUGGUGUGGCCAGGGUGGAUGCUUGGGUGUCUUUCUUCCAGCUGCCAUCUUAACUUUAAAUUUUUAAUUAAAAGAUUCCAAUUUUUCAUCCAGUGGGGAAAUCAUAUUAGUGCAAAUGAAACAAAAUGGGCUUUAUCAAUAUACUUUUUUUUGUACCUUAUAAAUAAAAGACCGGAAUGGGGCAACGGAGGUUUAAAGAAAUUGAGACUGUUAGGUUAUGAUUUGAGCUUCACUAUCAGCCAGGGAUUUUUAGCAAUAAAUCGUGUGAAUUUAUAACCACAGGUAGUUGAGAUUUUAUAAAGGCUGGCCUUCAGGCAUGAAGCACACAAUUCCAGUGUCAUUCCUAGCCUACACAGUCUUUGAUGUUUGCGCCUGGUUCAAAAUAUUUUUUUAGAAAACGCUACCACAGUAUUGCUCUUUCUCAACUAUACCACUCUGUACAGAAUCCAUAAGACCCCUUUCCAAUUUCAAUACUUUUACAAGAAAUUCUACUCUGGGUUUGUAUGUCCCGUGUGGUACACUAGAUGUCCAAACUCAUCACACUACAGUGUUCAUACCCAUUUUUGUUGACUGUAUAGUUCCAAUUCAGAAGGACUUGAGUCUGUGCUUUUAACCUUGACCAGAGUGAUUGCCUCAGCGACUAAAAUCAUAUGAAAGCAUGGUUUGCUAGCUGAGUCUAAGUGGCACACCAAGUCUCCUCUUGCUGCUUUGUGCUUCGGUCACUGUGAGAAAGGCCAGCUGAGUCCUUGGGGUUGGAAGAGGCCCAACCAAGGUCUAUACCAGGUUACACCCUAACCUACAGCCCCAAGAGAGUUGCACACAAGACCGUCUGAGCCCAGUCCAGAUAACCUGACUCACAAAUGGCCUACAGAUGUGUGUGGUAUGUUAAUUAUUGAUUAGUGUUCUGGGUCACUGAGAUCUGUGUCUAUUGUACUCAGUAAUAGCUAACUCAAAUCUACUUUCAGGGUCAACUGAGUUUCUGGUUUGCUUAUUAGGUCAGGAAACUACCAACACUAUAUGUUUUACAAACCAGAUGUAUGUUUAAUUGACUCCAUAUGUUUGAGUCUUUUUGUACUUUGAAAAUAUUCUCCUCUUCUCUGAACAUUCUGAAACCAAUACUUAGUGCCAUGGCCCUUACCUUAAGUAUAUUACCCUUCUGAAUUAACAUUUAAAAUCAGUUUUAGUCCUACAAGUUAACUAUCUAGAGAUCUGUCUACAUAUACAAGUCUAUGAUAAUAGGGUUUAUGUCUUGCCUUUGUCCUUUUCCAUUGUUCCAAAGUUCAUCACUCAAGAUAGUUUUGUGUAAUUGCUCUCUUUAUCUACCUGCAUAAUUGCAUGCCAAUACCUUUCCUCAAAUUAGAAAUUAUACUCAGCUCGGACAUUCUGCUGACACCACACUCCUCACUAAAUGUCAGUGUCUCGAAAAAUAUUCUCAGCUCAAAAGGCCUAAUUAGGUUUUCAGUAAUUCAUGCCAUUGGUCAUUAGAACAAUCACACAAGUCAGCAAGCACUCGGGUCCCCAACCACUAAAUUCAAACGUGAAGCAAAAAAGACCCUGCAAGAAAAUUCCUAAUUUCAUCCUUGCUUUCAUUGACCUUUUCCUUAGGUUUGCACACAUCAGGUACCUCUCUCUAGUCCUGUAAACCCUGCAGUGGUAGGUUCGGGAAAGGGGUGGAAAUAAAUUAGGGUUGCACCGUUUAAAAGGCAAACAGCUGUAAAGGAGCUCC